AUCCAGUUGACGAGUCCCAAACAAAGCGAAACGCGUGUUGUGGAU
rnacentral:hammerhead_ribozyme from 1 species